ensembl:lncRNA
AUGUCAUCCAUUUAAUGCCACUCCAAUUAACCAAGUGAUAUUGGAGCUGCUGCUGUUCGUAAUAGUGUGAGAAAAGAGAGCAGAGCCAGUAAGGAGGAAGACACACCUUGACCUGCUAAUGUUUAAAACAGGAGUCUGAGGAACUCUUCCCACGGAUCCAGUCUCCCUCCCAGGCUCUGCUAGGAUUGGAGUCCAGCAUCUGCUGGUGCCAGGUGCAGCGUGGGUACAUCCGUUGGCAUGGCUUCGCUUGAUCUUUAUGGUCGUGUUUUUUUUAUCAGUUCUGCCCACUCUGACUCUGGUUCCUGUCUCCAGUCCCAUGUCUCCUCAUCCUGCUACUCUGCCCUGGAUUUCCCACUCUACUUCUCCCUUGGAUACCCCUUCGGACCUGCCUACCCUGUCCCAACCCCUCUCGCUCCAGCCUCAGCCUCCGCACCUGGUUUUCUGCAACUCGCCCGAGCUUCCCCCGGCCUGCACUCCAUCUUCCCCCUGUGUUUCAAUAAAUACCUUGGUUACUUC